CGGCUAGCCGUUUCUGUGUUGUCGCCUUUCGCUUACUUCGAUGAAACUCAUUUCAAUCAAUACUUACAGAUAACGCUUACUUCGUUUUUCUUGUUGUUCUCUUAUGUUUAUAGGUGAACUCAAGAAUAACCUUUUUUUAAAUCUUUUUUUUUCGGCUUGAAGGAUUCAACUGUCACAGCGUCCAAACAAUCACUCUUACAAAAGUGCCACUUGGAGAUGGUUGGCUUCCAGAUAGCCCCUUAAUUACACUUUUUAUUUACAAUUUUAAAAUUGAAUGUAAUAAGUAAAUGAAGGGGUAAUAAUAAUUCAGCAAAUUCAUCAAUGAAACACAGUGACAAACCGGUUGACUCCUUUAAAGAAUCCGGAUGUUCAGCGGGGAGUGGAACUCUUUCCAAAUAUAAUAUAACAGAUAUGAAAGCAAGAAUGCAUAGUUUUUUGUUUAUUAAAGGCAAUCUUAAUACUUGGGGUUUCCAUUACCAUUAUAAGGUUUAAAAUUAGGUAGCUCAACCAGAUUUGUAUCCGAUGAAAUUUGUAUAAGCUUAAAUGGAUAAAGAAUUACUCAAGGCCUAAAUAAGAUUUAUAAAAAUUUGUCUAAAGCAAGUACUAGAUACUAAACGAAGAGAAGUUCUAACCGAUAUUUGCAAUAAUCUUGUAAAAUCAACGCAAAAAAAUGUUUAGAUCUUUACUUUUGUUGCAUCAAUUUUGCUAUAUCGCAGUUUUUUUAUUGACAUUUUAUAUAAUUAUAUUCGAUAACGCUUCUACAUGCAACUUUAUU